CAACCUCAACUCAUAUGGGACUACCCCCUGAAUUUAAGCAUAUUAAUUAGGGGAGGAAAAGAAACUAACAAGGAUUUUCUUAGUAGCGGCGAGCGAAAAGAAAUCAGUUCAGCACUAAGUCACUUUGUCUAUAUGGCAAAUGUGAGAUGCAGUGUACGGAACAUCAACAUUCUAGUAUGAGAAGUUAACGAUUUAAGUCCUUCUUAAAUGAGGCCAUUUACCCAUAGAGGGUGCCAGGCCCGUAUAACGUUAAUGAUUACUAGAUGGUGUUUCCAAAGAGUCGUGUUGCUUGAUAGUGCAGCACUAAGUGGGUGGUAAACUCCAUCUAAAACUAAAUAUAACCAUGAGACCGAUAGUAAACAAGUACCGUGAGGGAAAGUUGAAAAGAACUCUGAAUAGAGAGUUAAAUAGUACGUGAAACUGCUUAGAGGUUAAGCCCGAUGAACCUGAAUAUCCGUUAUGGAAAAUUCAUCAUUAGAAUUGUAAUAUUUUAAACAAUAUUAUAAUAAUAGUGUGCAUUUUUUCCAUAUAAGGACAUUGUAAUCUAUUAGCAUAAAUAUUUAUCAUAAAAUUAUGUCUGAUUGCUUAUUUGAAUUAUAUGCUUGGCAUUUUAACAUAAAAUAAAAGA
rnacentral:ncRNA from 1 species